rnacentral:rRNA from 1 species
AUUGGGACUGAGAUACGGCCCAGACUCCUACGGGAGGCAGCAGUGGGGAAUAUUGCACAAUGGGCGCAAGCCUGAUGCAGCGACGCCGCGUGCGGGAUGACGGCCUUCGGGUUGUAAACCGCUUUUGACUGGGAGCAAGCCCUUCGGGGUGAGUGUACCUUUCGAAUAAGCACCGGCUAACUACGUGCCAGCAGCCGCGGUAAUACGUAGGGUGCAAGCGUUAUCCGGAAUUAUUGGGCGUAAAGGGCUCGUAGGCGGUUCGUCGCGUCCGGUGUGAAAGUCCAUCGCUUAACGGUGGAUCCGCGCCGGGUACGGGCGGGCUUGAGUGCGGUAGGGGAGACUGGAAUUCCCGGUGUAACGGUGGAAUGUGUAGAUAUCGGGAAGAACACCAAUGGCGAAGGCAGGUCUCUGGGCCGUCACUGACGCUGAGGAGCGAAAGCGUGGGGAGCGAACAGGAUUAGAUACCCUGGUAGUCCACGCCGUAAACGGUGGAUGCUGGAUGUGGGGACCAUUCCACGGUCUCCGUGUCGGAGCCAACGCGUUAAGCAUCCCGCCUGGGGAGUACGGCCGCAAGGCUAAAACUCAAAGAAAUUGACGGGGGCCCGCACAAGCGGCGGAGCAUGCGGAUUAAUUCGAUGCAACGCGAAGAACCUUACCAAGGCUUGACAUGCACUGGACUGGCCCAGAGAUGGGGUUUCCUUUUUGGCUGGUGUGCAGGUGGUGCAUGGUUGUCGUCAGCUCGUGUCGUGAGAUGUUGGGUUAAGUCCCGCAACGAGCGCAACCCUCGCCCUGUGUUGCCAGCACGUCGUGGUGGGAACUCACGGGGGACCGCCGGGGUCAACUCGGAGGAAGGUGGGGAUGACGUCAGAUCAUCAUGCCCCUUACGUCCAGGGCUUCACGCAUGCUACAAUGGCCGGUACAACGGGAUGCGACACUGUGAGGUGGAGCGGAUCCCUUAAAACCGGUCUCAGUUCGGAUUGGAGUCUGCAACCCGACUCCAUGAAGGCGGAGUCGCUAGUAAUCGCGGAUCAGCAACGCCGCGGUGAAUGCGUUCCCGGGCCUUGUACACACCGCCCGUCAAGUCAUGAAAGUGGGUAGCACCCGAAGCCGGUGGCCCAACCUUUUUGGGGGGAGCCGUCUAAGGUGAGACUCGUGAUUGGGACUAAGUCGUAACAAGGUAGCCGUACCGGAAGGUGCGGCUG